UCUGGUUAUUUUCAUCUGCUCUGUUGUACAAUAAGUUCCUUUUUUAUCCAAGUAUAUCAUUAAGAUCUCUCCCAAUUCAGUGCAGAUUAAAUGUUUGUUUGAAGGAUCACUUUCUAUGAGUAAUAUCACUUGAUAAAUGUGGGGCUGAAGUAAUAAUCUAAGUAUUCACUUGUUGCUAUUACUGCUUGUGUGUAUAUAUAUAGAGAGAGAGGUCAUGCCUAGUGCUGUGACUGUAGUGUUGAUCACAGACAUUAAGGCAGUGUGCGCUCUGGAAGUGAAGUAUAACAUCUAUGAAAUCAAGCUUUGCUUGUAAAGAUGGGGUCCAAACUGAAGGACAGAUGGGAUGAUAGCAAAGAAAUACUACCUAAAAGAAUUAAUCAGGCAUUCAGAAAUGACAAGCAUACUAUGCUACAUGAAAAUGAGAGUGUGAUUCAGAAGAAUGCUGUUUGACAAAGGUGCAUUUUUUUCAAGAAACCUGCUGACACUAUUGAUCAAUCUGUUACAGAUGUAAGUGGGAAAAGGAAAACUAAGUCAUGUGAAUUUGUACUGUUAACAGAAGGGCUAACUAGAGAGUGAAUGAUUUGUGGAGUAAUUAAGAAGCAAUUUAUGCAAAGUUACCGCCUGGGGUGGACUUGACUUGGCAAAGUGUAUAUUCACAUGGCUACUGAAAAUCCUGCUUCCCAGAUGAAAGUGGUAGUGAACACUCUUUUCUACAGGACACUGUUAGCACACUGUGUCUCCAGUGAAGAAAGCUCAUUUAGAAUCUAUAAGGGAAAACAGAUGGAAUAAACAAGGGUAGAUGUAGUUAGCUGUGUUAGUUGGGUGAAGAUCAAUCCUGCCUUCUAACAAACUAAAAUUCCAAGGCAAUUUAGAAAUCACAGCAGAUCUGUGUACACUGAAAAACAAAUCCUACCCUAGUAAACCUUAGAUGGGCAAUCAUCACUUUCACAAGGAUGAUGGAGGACUUGGAACUCCCUGAAGGUAGAGAAAACCUAAAUAGUCAGCAGGAAAAAAAUCAUAGUGUUGUACCAGUAAGAACUGCAGCACGUUACUCACUCAGGGAGGUCACUGAUUGAUGUUUGCAACUGCAAAACUCUCCUGAUACAAAUGAAGCCUAGAGUAAAUCAGCAAUAGCCAUACUUGCCCUGGAGCCCUGUGAGAAACUGUGGCCUUUGCCAGGUGAAAUAAUCAAAGAGAAGCUUCUAUAGCUUCCAUAUUUGC